UACCAGACUCCUACGGGAGGCAGCAGUGGGGAAUAUUGCACAAUGGGGGAAACCCUGAUGCAGCAACGCCGCGUGAGUGAGGAAGUAUUUCGGUAUGUAAAGCUCUAUCAGCAGGGAAGAAAAUGACGGUACCUGACUAAGAAGCCCCGGCUAACUACGUGCCAGCAGCCGCGGUAAUACGUAGGGGGCAAGCGUUAUCCGGAUUUACUGGGUGUAAAGGGAGCGUAGACGGCAUGGCAAGUCAGAUGUGAAAGCCCGGGGCUCAACCCCGGGACUGCAUUUGAAACUGUCAGGCUGGAGUGCAGGAGAGGUAAGUGGAAUUCCUAGUGUAGCGGUGAAAUGCGUAGAUAUUAGGAGGAACACCAGUGGCGAAGGCGGCUUACUGGACUGUAACUGACGUUGAGGCUCGAAAGCGUGGGGAGCAAACAGGAUUAGAUACCCCGGUAAAG
rnacentral:rRNA from 1 species